rnacentral:lncRNA from 1 species
CCGCGUCUCCGCUCCCGCGCUGCCGGCUUCCGCGGCUUCCCCCACUUCUCAGCCUGCUUCUCUCUCCCCUCUCCUUCCUUUCCUGUCCUUUCACACUCGCGCCCCAGCCCCCGUCACCAUCUACCCCAAGGACUUGCAAACUUCGCCCCUGAGGAGCGGACUCUUCGGUUCUCCGUGGAAAAUCAACCAGACCCAAAACAGAGGUCCCGGGUUUGGGGAUACCACGCCGCGCGCCUGAGCAUCCGGGCUCCAUUUCUCCAGGCGACAUCUGCGGGAAGGGAGACCUAAAGGCCAAGGCUGGGGACGAGAGAUCAUCCACCAAGGCCGGGGUUUCCGAGUGAGGCGCCCACUUCGCAUCCCACAGUACCGCCAG